rnacentral:lncRNA from 1 species
UGGAAAUGGGAAUGGCCGACAAACUCCACCAGAUCUUAGAGACCGUUAAGCAGCUGACGAAGACUUUAGUGCUGAAUUGAAAAGGCUUCAAUAAUAAUAUCACGAGUUGACAUAGAGAUGACGGUGUCGAGGAGACAAAUGAGGGUAAACAACAAUUAUGCUCUAAAGUGGCAAAGCUUGAGUUUCUUACUUAUUAUAGAGACUUAAUUGAAUGGUUUACUAGAGUCAAAAUAUUCUUAAAGC